rnacentral:rRNA from 1 species
GAGAAUCUGCCUUGGGGUCGGGGACAACCACUGGAAACGGUGGCUAAUACCGGAUAAGCCUUUGGGUAAAAAAUUUAUUGCCCCAAGAGGAGCUCGCGUCUGAUUAGCUAGUUGGUGAGGUAAAAGCUCACCAAGGCAGCGAUCAGUAGCUGGUCUGAGAGGACGAUCAGCCACACUGGGACUGAGACACGGCCCAGACUCCUACGGGAGGCAGCAGUGGGGAAUUUUCCGCAAUGGGCGAAAGCCUGACGGAGCAAGACCGCGUGAGGGAGGAAGGCUCUUGGGUUGUAAACCUCUUUUCUCAGGGAAGAAGCUCUGACGGUACCUGAGGAAUCAGCCUCGGCUAACUCCGUGCCAGCAGCCGCGGUAAUACGGAGGAGGCAAGCGUUAUCCGGAAUUAUUGGGCGUAAAGCGUCCGCAGGUGGCGAUUCAAGUCUGCUGUCAAAGCACGGGGCUUAACUCCGUUAAGGCAGUGGAAACUGAAUAGCUAGAGUGCCGUAGGGGUAGAGGGAAUUCCCGGUGUAGCGGUGAAAUGCGUAGAGAUCGGGAAGAACAUCGGUGGCGAAAGCGCUCUACUGGACGGCAACUGACACUCAGGGACGAAAGCUAGGGGAGCGAAUGGGAUUAGAUACCCCAGUAGUCCUAGCUGUAAACGAUGGAUACUAGGUGUAGCUUGUAUCGACCCGAGCUGUGCCGAAGCUAACGCGUUAAGUAUCCCGCCUGGGGAGUACGCACGCAAGUGUGAAACUCAAAGGAAUUGACGGGGGUCCGCACAAGAGGUGGAGUAUGUGGUUUAAUUCGAUGCAACGCGAAGAACCUUACCAGGGCUUGACAUGUCCGAGAAUCUCGGUGAAAGAUGGGAGUGCCUUCGAAAGCCGGAACACAGG